rnacentral:rRNA from 1 species
UACGGAGGGUGCGAGCGUUGUCCGGAAUCAUUGGGCGUAAAGGGCGCGUAGGUGGCGGGACAAGCGUGCGGUGAAAGCUCGGGGCUCAACCCCGAGUCGGCCGUGCGAACUGUCUUGCUUGAGCACUGUAGAGGCAGGCGGAAUUCCGGGUGUAGCGGUGGAAUGCGUAGAGAUCCGGAAGAACACCGGUGGCGAAGGCGGGUCUCUGGGCCGAUACUGACGCUGAGGAGCGAAAGCGUGGGGAGCGAACAGG